GAUGAACGCUGGCGGCGUGCUUAACACAUGCAAGUCGAACGGUGAACGAGGGAGCUUGCUCCCUCCGGAUCAGUGGCGAACGGGUGAGUAACACGUGAGCAAUCUGCCCCGAACUCUGGGAUAAGCGCUGGAAACGGCGUCUAAUACCGGAUACGACGCGCGAAGGCAUCUUCGGCGCGUGGAAAGAACUUCGGUUCGGGAUGAGCUCGCGGCCUAUCCGCUAGUUGGUGGGGUAACGGCGCACCAAGGCGACGACGGGUAGCCGGCCCGAGAGGGUGACCGGCCACACUGGGACUGAGACACGGCCCAGACUCCUACGGGAGGCAGCAGUGGGGAAUAUUGCACAAUGGGCGCAAGCCUGAUGCAGCAACGCCGCGUGAGGGACGACGGCCUUCGGGUUGUAAACCUCUUUUAGUAGGGAAGAAGCGAAAGUGACGGUACCUGCAGAAAAAGCACCGGCUAACUACGUGCCAGCAGCCGCCGUAACAC
rnacentral:rRNA from 1 species